AUGCAUAACCUUAUUUCUGUGUACAAAAAUUUAGGCCGGAUGUGGAGGUUCUACGAGAACUACGCGCCGAGGAAGAUGGCCAUGUACGUGGAGAAGGUGGUGGAGAGCCUUGCCGACGUGGUAGAGACGGUGGACACGAUGGCCGGGAUGUUCUCGCUGGUGGCCGUGGGGCGGGGAGGGCAGCAGCCCAAGGAGUUGUUGGUCGGGCUGGACGAGUGGGCGGAGGCCAGGCGGGAGUUGGGCAUCAUGGCGGAGAUCCUGGCGUCCAAUACGUCCAUGGAGAUGGGCUCCGUGCUCAUCAAGCAGCAGCAUAGGGUGCUUGUGCAGGUGCCCCAGUUACCUCUGCAGAGCCGGCACACGUAUUUUUUUUGGAAAAGGGGCGCAACCCCGGCCUCUGCAUCAGAAAGAUGCAUAUGGCCACAUUUAUUAAAAGCAAAUAGGUUCAACAAAGGUCAUGUAAUCCAUUACAAACUAGUCACCAAACGGCUCACAAAGAUCGGAAAAUAA
rnacentral:rRNA from 1 species